GUCAGGGUGGAGGUGUCAGUCUGGCCUUGCCAUGGGGGUGGGUGUGACAUCCAUCGGUGGGUGUGACAGGAGAGGCCAGCACGCAGGGUUGGACUCCAGGGUGGCAGGACUCCAUAAAGCACGACCGUGUGGACCCUAGGAGAGGCCUGUUCCCGGCGAUAUCACAGCCCAGGGGUCCUUGGGUCCUUGGCACGCACGCAAGGAUUUGUUCCAGACAUCCAUGAACAAGCCAGGACGAAGCCCUUUCCCGCCAAACCACUAAGGCUGGGAAAUAAGCGGUGCCUGCCCCAACUCUGGGAGCGGAAACCCGGGAGAAGACUUGAGUGGCUCUGGAAAAACUGGCAGGAAUUUCCUUGUCGUGAGAAGACCGACGAGCGUCUGCAGAGGAGAAGACAACUGCAAACAGACUUUGGGC